UCUAAUUGGCAGACAAGUGCAUUAAGUUUAAGCCUUAAUUAUAAUCUUUUAUAUAAAAUA
rnacentral:tRNA from 1 species